UACGUAGGGUGCAAGCGUUGUCCGGAAUUAUUGGGCGUAAAGAGCUCGUAGGCGGCUUGUCGCGUCUGCUGUGAAAACUGGAGGCUCAACCUCCAGCCUGCAGUGGGUACGGGCAGACUAGAGUGCGGUAGGGGAGAUUGGAAUUCCUGGUGUAGCGGUGGAAUGCGCAGAUAUCAGGAGGAACACCGAUGGCGAAGGCAGAUCUCUGGGCCGUAACUGACGCUGAGGAGCGAAAGCAUGGGGAGCGAACAGG
rnacentral:rRNA from 1 species